GACGAACGCUGGCGGCGUGCCUAAUACAUGCAAGUAGAACGCUGAAGGAGGAGCUUGCUUCUCUGGAUGAGUUGCGAACGGGUGAGUAACGCGUAGGUAACCUGCCUGGUAGCGGGGGAUAACUAUUGGAAACGAUAGCUAAUACCGCAUAAGAGUAGAUGUCGCAUGACAUUUGCUUAAAAGGUGCAAUUGCAUCACUACCAGAUGGACCUGCGUUGUAUUAGCUAGUUGGUGAGGUAACGGCUCACCAAGGCAACGAUACAUAGCCGACCUGAGAGGGUGAUCGGCCACACUGGGACUGAGACACGGCCCAGACUCCUACGGGAGGCAGCAGUAGGGAAUCUUCGGCAAUGGACGGAAGUCUGACCGAGCAACGCCGCGAGAGUGAAGAAGGUUUUCGGAUCGUAAAGCUCUGUUGUAAGAGAAGAACGAGUGUGAGAGUGGAAAGUUCACACUGUGACGGUAUCUUACCAGAAAGGGACGGCUAACUACGUG
rnacentral:rRNA from 1 species